rnacentral:lncRNA from 1 species
GCGAUCAAAAUGUUUUAUACAACGAACGGUAAUCCAUAUGUAAUGGAUCAGCAUUUAAAUUUCCAACACAGUUUUUGAGAUGUAAUUCAAGAGAUAACUUAUCAUUGCAUUUGAACUAUUACAUCAGUUAGUGUUAUACUGUGCGAUGGAAAGAGGGCUUCCAUAUACGUUGAAAUCACCAAAUAAACAGCUCAUGCACGCAUUUCUCCACUUCGUCGUAAGUUUACAGAGCAUAUUUUAUACUUUGGGACUGAUCUUUGUCUUUGACUUUGAUGUAAACAUUUAUUCUUAUAUAGUUUAAGGUUAUUUAAUAAGAUUGAUCUCAAAACGCAUUA